UACAGAGGGUGCAAGCGUUGUUCGGAAUUAUUGGGCGUAAAGGGCGCGUAGGCGGUGCGGUAAGUCUGCAGUGAAAUCUCUGGGCUCAACUCAGAGUCUGCUGUAGAAACUGCCGUGCUUGAGUGUGGGAGAGGUGAGUGGAAUUCCUGGUGUAGCGGUGAAAUGCGUAGAGACCCGGAGGAACACCAGUGGCGAAGGCGGCUUCCUGGUCUGCGACUGACGCUGGUGGCGCGAAAGCUAGGGGAGCAAACAGG
rnacentral:rRNA from 1 species